rnacentral:rRNA from 1 species
AGAGUUUGAUCCUGGCUCAGGACGAACGCUGGCGGCGUGCUUAAAACAUGCAAGUCGAACGGAGUUUAUGAGUAGCUUGCUACGAUUAAACUUAGUGGCGGACGGGUGAGUAACACGUGAGCAACCUGCCUAUCACAGGGGAAUAACACUUAGAAAUAGGUGCUAAUACCGCAUAUGACCACAGACCGGCAUCGGUUAGAGGUGAAAGGAGUUAAAUCUGGUGAUAGAGGGGCUUGCGUAUCAUUAGCUUGUUGGUGAGGGUAACGGCCCACCAAGGCAACGAUGAUUAGCCGAUCUGAGAGGAUGACCGGCCACACUGGAACUGAGAUACGGUCCAGACUCCUACGGGAGGCAGCAGUUAGGAAUAUUGGGCAAUGGAGGAAACUCUGACCCAGCAACGCCGCGUGAAGGAUGAAGGUUCUCGGAUUGUAAACUUCUAUCUGUAGGAAAGAAACAAAUGACGGUACCACAGGAGAAAGCUCCGGCUAACUACGUGCCAGCAGCCGCGGUAAUACGUAGGGAGCAAGCGUUGUCCGGAAUAACUGGGCGUAAAGGGAGCGUAGGUGGCGAUUUAAGUGAAAUGUGAAAGCCCGGGGCUCAACUCCGGAAUGUCAUUUCAUACUGGAUUGCUUGAGUGCAGGAGGGGUAAGCGGAAUUCCUAGUGUAGCGGUUAAAUGCGUAGAUAUUAGGAAGAACACCAGAGGCGAAGGCGGCUUACUGGACUGUAACUGACACUGAGGCUCGAAAGCGUGGGGAGCAAACAGGAUUAGAUACCCUGGUAGUCCACGCCGUAAACGAUGGAUACUAAACGUGGGUGGUAUCGACUCCAUCCGUGUUGU